CUCAUAUGGAGAGGCUUGUGCAUAAUUUGUCAUCAAUAAGAAGAAACACAGGGAAAGAAGCCAAAAGUGUUGAAAUUAACAAAAUAAGGAAUAUGCUGGAUUUGGAGGAUUUGGGGGGAGCAGGAUGUGUAAGUGUCUU
rnacentral:lncRNA from 12 species